rnacentral:rRNA from 1 species
GAUGAACGCUGGCGGCGUGCCUAAUACAUGCAAGUCGAGCGAACAGACGAGGAGCUUGCUCCUCUGACGUUAGCGGCGGACGGGUGAGUAACACGUGGAUAACCUACCUAUAAGACUGGGAUAACUUCGGGAAACCGGAGCUAAUACCGGAUAAUAUAUUGAACCGCAUGGUUCAAUAGUGAAAUACGGUUUUGCUGUCACUUAUAGAUGGAUCCGCGCCGCAUUAGCUAGUUGGUAAGGUAACGGCUUACCAAGGCAACGAUGCGUAGCCGACCUGAGAGGGUGAUCGGCCACACUGGAACUGAGACACGGUCCAGACUCCUACGGGAGGCAGAAGUAGGGAAUCUUCCGCAAUGGGCGAAAGCUUGACGGAGCAACGCCGCGUGAGUGAUGAAGGUCUUCGGAUCGUAAAACUCUGUUAUUAGGGAAGAACAAAUGUGUAAGUAACUAUGCACGUCUUGACGGUACCUAAUCAGAAAGCCACGGCUAACUACGUG